AUUCCGGCUCCUGCUCCUCCUCUUCCUCUCCCCUUGCGCCGCCGUCAGCGUCCCCCGCUCCGCCUGCGGGCCGGGGUCUCUGGGGGGACGGAACGGGACCCGGUAAGAAGAGAGAAGAUGUUAGAGUAGAGGGGUGUUCCAGCAGAGGGGAAAGGCCAAGUGCCCUUUCCAGAAAGGCAUUCCAGAGCGGAGCUGGACAGGAACAGCUCGGGCACUCCGUUGGAAAGCCGCUUUGCAUCAUCCUGUGCUGAUUCCUGUCUACCUCUCACCCAGCUCCGGGCUCUGGAAAUUCUCUUCUUCCAUUUGCAUUCAACACCCACCAGCACUGGCAUACAGGAAUAGCGUUACAAGUGUGAGGAAUGUGGUAAAAGGGUUCAAAGCCUCUCAGAUCUCAUGAAACAUCAGUGGACACACUCGGGAAAAUCUCUCCCCAGCCCGCCCUCCUGUCAGGCCACACCAUGAUCUGAGAAAUACUUGUGUAGGCCUUGGCCUUGAGAAGCAGCCCCUAGGCUCAGCUCCUCUUGAGUUUAUCACCAACACUGGCUGUUCCAGGGACUGCUGCUGUCCAACAAGCUCCAACAGCCUUAGAAUUUUUUUUUUUUUUUGCCUGAAUAACAUCCCAAAUGGGAUCAUAUUUUAGUUCUCAACCUUUCCCAGAAAGUCACCGGCCUGAGCUUGGGCCAGGAUGGAAAAUGUCUGUGACUAAAGCCCAUCCCUUGGGCCCUAUAAACAGCAGCCCUGAGUGAGACCCUUGAGUUACGGUACAAGCUGGGCAGUUUCACCCAGUCACAUUCCACCCUAAGCUGCAGACAUCUCACUGGUCAGAGAACUGAGAGGUGGUAGGAUCAGACCAAUGAGCUGUUUAGACUGGGGCAUUUUCAAACCCCCUCUAUAAAGCUGGGUUCAAACAAUAAAGCUCUCUCUAUUAUUGCCACUUGCAACUCCAAAGUGUGUCUCUGUCUCUGACCACCGACUCCACGUUACACCCUUGGAACUCUCCUGAACUGCAGCAGCUGCGACAGUGACCUCCCUGUGCUGGGGCCUCUGUGAAUCCACUGGAUUCCAGGGGAAUUUCCCUCAGGGACCUUGUACAGACUGCUUCUGUCCAUACGUGUGUGACGCUGCAUAUGCCGUAGCAAAUGUCCUGGGAGUGCUGCUUUCCUGGAGUCAGAAAUACUUACAAUAUGUCAGAUUAAAAUAUGUCAGUACUUAAAAUAAGUCAGAUAUGUUCCUGUUGUGGUGUAAUAAAUUCUAUGUGAAGUUACUGAUUAAAUUUCAAUGAAGUGCUGUUAA